CGCCCAAGAGAUCGGGAUAACACCUGGAAACAGAUGCUAAUACUGGAUAACAACAGAUGAUGCCUAUCAACUGUUUAAAAGAUGGUUCUGCUAUCACUCUUGGAUGGACCUGCGGUGCAUUAGCUAGUUGGUAGGGUAACGGCCUACCAAGGCGAUGAUGCAUAGCCGAGUUGAGAGACUGAUCGGCCACAUUGGGACUGAGACACGGCCCAAACUCCUACGGGAGGCAGCAGCU
rnacentral:rRNA from 1 species